rnacentral:rRNA from 1 species
GCUUGUCUCAAAGAUUAAGCCAUGCAUGUCUAAGUAUAAACGACUUUAUACUGUGAAACUGCGAAUGGCUCAUUAUAUCAGUUAUAGUUUAUUUGAUGGUCCUUGCUACUUGGAUAACCGUAGUAAUUCUAGAGCUAAUACAUGCAUCAAACCCCGACUUCUGGAAGGGGUGUAUUUAUUAGAUGGAAACCAAUGCAGGGCAACCUGGAAUAUGGUGAUUCAUAAUAACUCGCGGAUCGGUUUACCGAUGCAUCAUUCAAGUUUCUGCCCUAUCAACUUUCAACCGUAAGGUAGUGGCCUACGGUGGUGGUAACGGGUGACGGAGGAUUAGGGUUCGAUUCCGGAGAGGGAGCCUGAGAAACGGCUACCACAUCCAAGGAAGGCAGCAGG